rnacentral:lncRNA from 1 species
CAUCAGGAACGAAUCCCCCGUGCAAGUGCUUGUGGGUGAAGCGAGCUUUUUCUUCAUCGCUAUACGCCGUAGCCGCGGAAAAUGAGCUAUAUUGCUAGUCCUUGUAUGCGAGACUUGUAAACAGUGUGCAUCCUUCUGUAAAACUACUCUUUCCUCUGGACGCUACCAUGGAGGAGGUCACCGAGUUUGCAACUCUAGGCACAUGAGCAGUGCGGCCACUAUUUUAUUCUGGUUUUAUGUUAUAAGUUAAUAUGGAUUGAAGCAUGUUGUAGCUUCGAUGAAGUUUAU